ensembl:lncRNA SNHG27 small nucleolar RNA host gene 27
GUGUGAUCGUGCGUCAGAGUCGGGGCUGAGACCAGUCCUAGCCAGGGCAGUUACCAGGACGGUGUCCGGAGGCCGGGAUUCGCGGAGGGUCCACCACCAGGAAGAAACGCCAGAAGGAAGAAACCUCAGACAGAUCGCCGGGGACGCAGCGCGGGAUCCCAGCCUCAGGCGUGUGCGGACGGUGUGCGGGAAGGGAGUGUAUCCUGGUGUAUGACAGCAUAUAGUAGAGACCAGUGUCAAUUAGGGCCUGUGAACUGAGACAGGGUGACUGGCUAAGUCCACAACCCAUUAGAAACCCAGAAAUAAUCAAAUCAUGAGGGAUCAUGGAAAGGAAGCUGAAUUUGCUGAGUUUUGCCACGUGGGCAUUGCAUGCCUAUGUGAUUAACCACCAAUAAAAACCUGGGACAUCAAAAAAUAAAUAAGCUGCUUUAAUUGCCAAGAAUUCACAUGUGGUUGUAUGCAGCAUUACUGGGAGAUUGAAGUGUAUCUGCAUGUGAUUCUACUGUGAUGGACACUUGUAAAUUUGUGCCUGGAGUCUCCUGGAAUUUGCCCUGAGAAUCUUUUUCCUUUGUUGAUAAGAAUCUGCAUCCUUUUGUUUUAAUAAACGAUAAACAUGAGUAUAA